GAGUUUGAUCGUGGCUCAGAUUGAACGCUGGCGGCAUGCUUUACACAUGCAAGUCGAACGGUAACGCGGGGGCAACCCUGGCGACGAGUGGCGAACGGGUGAGUAAUACAUCGGAACGUGUCCUGGAGUGGGGGAUAGCUCGGCGAAAGCCGGAUUAAUACCGCAUACGCUCUGAGGAGGAAAGCGGGGGACCUUCGGGCCUCGCGCUGCGGGAGCGGCCGAUGUCGGAUUAGCUAGUUGGUGGGUAAAGGCCUACCAAGGCGACGAUCCGUAGCUGGUCUGAGAGGAUGAUCAGCCACACUGGGACUGAGACACGGCCCAGACUCCUACGGGAGGCAGCAGUGGGGAAUUUUGGACAAUGGGGGCAACCCUGAUCCAGCCAUGCCGCGUGAGUGAAGAAGGCCUUC
rnacentral:rRNA from 1 species